ACUGACGAGAUGUCAGGCUGCAGGAGGAGGUACAUUCCAGAAACAUGGGAGAACUUGGAGGGAGCAGCUUCAGACUGAUAGGUCUUGGUUCUUUCAAAAGAUCCUCACAAUGAAUUCAGUUGGAAGAUCUGUGUGUUUCCUCCUCGCAUUUCUACUUGUGAUAGUAUGCAUUAUUGCUGUGGUAGCUUGCAUCAUCACAGACUGAGUUCCCAACACCUAUUUGUCUAAGGCAACUUGAAUCUUCUCACUGAUUGUAAUGGCUGCUGGACUUCAUCUCCAGUGAUGAGCUCGGGACAUUAUCUAUUUGGCGACAGAAAUAUUAAGUAGGAGCAAAAAUGUUUUAAUAGAUCUCAAUUAUUUAAAGGUGAGAUAAUAUUAGAGACAUUAAUUUGAUUAAUGAUUUUUUUGUACAGAUUCAAAUUAUGACUACAUAUCUUUUUUGAGCUGGUUGGACUAAAAUGACUUGCUGUGGUAUCCAAGUUACAAACCAACUUGUAACCAACGCGUUGACCAACGGAGCGCUCUGGUUCUAGUUCCACAAUUGUCCACCAUAAACAGAAUUGUUCCACUAUAAACAGGAAUAGUGUGUGUGAUAGCAGACCAGAGUGAAGUCCCUGUGUACAAACCCUCAGCCUAUCAAUUUAUGAGAUUUAGUUCACUGCGAACAAAUCAAAACACAAACAUGGAAUGGUGCCAAUCUACUGACUUCAGUAAGGUGGCAUCUGCAGCACAUUAAAAGGGAAAAAAGUUCGUCUUGAGACGUAUUCGUCUCUGGGAAAAAAACAUGCAUGAGACGAAGAUACACAUUACACAGCAACAACAAAAAGCACUAGAAAUACGUAGUUAAAGCAUCCGUUUUAGCAAGAUCGAGGACCCGCGGGGGCGCGGUGC